GGCACGGUAGCUUAGUUGGUAAAGCGUUCAUCUAGCAUACAAGAGUCCUGGGUUCGAAUCCCAGCCGAGCAA
rfam:Aedes aegypti strain Liverpool supercont1.669 genomic scaffold, whole genome shotgun sequence.